CUGUAUCGGCCACUGCGCAGGUCAGGUUUCGGACAGCAGUGCAGAGGUGGUGUCCGGCGGAGCUUUCCUUUGCUCCUGUCUCCACCUGGAACUAAGUAUUCUCUUUACUGGCCACUUCAUCCUUUUCUGCACGGAGCCCAGGACGUCUAAAUCUCCAGAUAAUGAUGCGACUAUUAUUGUAUUUCUUUGUGGGCACCAAUUAUUGUGCUUCACACAGGAUGGAAUCAAAACCCAGCACGGAGGGCAUCAGGACUUUGAUCUGUGCACCAUCUUGAAUGAUGCAGUUACGCUUCUCUCUCUCGUCUCCAAGUCUUGGUGGAUGAAGAUAUAUGUGAACUUCAUGGGAUCAAGGACAACAAAUCUCUCCCUUUAAUUAAUAUUUUUCUUUGCAGACAAAAAUAAAGCUAGGGACCUGUUAUAGACUGAACAUGUCCCCCCACAAUUCAUAUGUGGAAGCUUUGACUCCCAAUGCAUUGGGUAUUUAAAGAUAGGGCCUUUCAGGAGAUAAUAAAGGUCAAAUUAAGGUCAUCAGGAUGGGGCUCGACUCCGAUAGAACUGGUGUCCUUAUGAGAAAAGGAUGAGGCACCAGAGACCCUUUCCUUUCUCUCCAUAUGCACAGAUGAAAGACCAUGUGAAGACACAGCAAGAAGGUGGCCAUCUGCAAGCCAAGAAGGGAGACCUCACCUCAAAGCAACUCUGGCAGCACCUUGAUCUUGGACUUCCCAGCCUCCAAAAAUGAGAGAAAAUAAAUUUCUGUUGUUUAAGCAACCUGGUUUGUUGAAAUUUUGUUAUGGCAUCCCAAGCUGACUAACACAGGAUCUAUGCCAUAAUUAUUUCCUCUAGUCAUAUAAGAUACCCAGCAGUGGUUGGGUAGAACUUUUUCCUUCAACUCCCAAAUUCCAAGUUCUCUAUUUAUAUGUCAUCUACACACCCAUGCCACUUCUCAGUGAAGCCAACAUGGGUAUGUUUAUCAAAGAUAAAGAAACAUUGAUUGAGUACCAACUAUGCGUAAAGCACUUAACAUAUUUUAUUUCAUAGAAACCUACAACAUCCUGAUUUUAUAUGUUUAUAUCCACUUUGUAGAUGAGGAAGCAGCCAUUGGGUAACUUGCCUAAGAGGAUACGCUUAUUAGUGACUGAACUGGGAUUUGAAUCCAGAUCUGUUUGACUCUAAAAAAAUAGGACACUGCAUCUGCACAGUGACAGAUAUUGUUGCUACAUAUCUCAAAUAGCUCUUUCUCAGAGGUCAAUUAAUUGAUGGACUUGGCGUUUCAUUUUACCUGUAGGUUUAUUGAUUUAUCUAUUUUAAACGUAGAUGUUCUUGUUCAUCUACAUCAGGGACUGUUGUGUUUUCCACUGAUGUACCCUAGGGGCCCUAAUCAGUGCCUACAUGGUAGGACUCAAUAAAUAUUUGUUGAAUAAUAAUUGCUUUCAACUCAUUAAAAAAGUAUAAGCAGUAGCUUUUGGACCAAUACAUAGAUGGCCGUCCAAAAGAUCCCUUUACUUGGCUGAAAUACAAAAGGGUAGGAUGUCUGAAGAUGGAAAUUGAUGAAGAGGUUUUUCAGGCUGAUUAAAGUUUUUGAAGUUGUGAAAUUUUAGGAGCCAGGGAGAUAUGAGGUGCUAUCCAGCUAGCACCUGGAAAAGUAAAAGAUAUGUCUGUGGGCCCCAUCUCAGAGGGGAUAGCUGAGGUUAUGAACCUACAGAAUUGAGGGUGAAACUGGAAGAAAAUAAAAGUCUAGGAGACUUCCUGUUUUUAGGAGGCCAGUAUUUCCCAAACUGAACUAGUAUGCCUUUAUUCCUCCCCACUGCUAGCUCCUAGUUUAGUCAGAUCUGCUAACUUUCUUUCCUCUGUGCCUUUGUUGACACUUUUUCUUUCACUUGGACUCAUUGUGUCUAUGCACCUCAAUCUUUCAAAUCCAGGACUUGUCCCUGAGGUCUCAUCAGAAGAAAGAGGACAAGUGGUUUGAGGAGAAAGAAAGAAGAAGUUUAUUACUUUGUUGGCAAAGGAGGAAAAAUGGCAGACUCUCAUCUUGAAAUUCAAAACUUUUCCUGAACAUAAGCAGAAAUACAGAGCUUUUAAAGGGAGAGCCCUCAGAUGUAGGCUAUUGCCAUUAACCAUUCCAAUUUCCCAUCUAUGCCAAAGACAAAGCCUGUGAUCUCCUUACCUGGGAGGUCCAUGCUGGGCCUGGAAUGGCUCAGCUAUCUCUUGUAACACAAAGAACAAAACAUAUUCCCCUGUCCCUCCCGACCACUUGCCUGAGGAGGGAUGCAAGCUAGGGUGCAGUUCCCAAAAAGAGGAAGUUGUAAAGAGACAGAAAAUAUUUUUCUCUUUUUUUUUUUUUUUCAGGCCAUUCCCUCUGUUACAGUUCUAUGAAACCCUACCUAAUGCCAGCACCUACUGAUUUAUCUUCCUAUGAAUUUCUACUGCUCUGCUAUUAAACCAGUGAUCUCUGCUUUUUGGAUUACUUAUCUCUAUCAGCUGAGCAUUUUUGAGCACGUCUCCUAAUUUAUGUACUUAUUCCUUAAAAUAUAUACCUUCAACUGCUCUAAAACAUUAUGUAGAAAUGAGAGAAAUUAAAACAUUUUAAAAAAUUGUAAUGAUUAUGUGUACAUAACUGUUAUAUAUCUUUAUAGGGUAGAAGUGAAGAUUUGAUACAGGCAUACAAAGUGAUUUAAUCAAAUCAGGAUUAUUGGGGUAUCCAUCUUCUCAGGCAUUUAUCAUUUCCUUGUAUUAAGAACAUUCACAUUCUACUCUUUUAGCUAUUUGAACUAACUUAUUGUUGAUUAUAGUCACUUUGCUGUGUUAUUAAAUAUUGUUCAUUCUAUAUAACUAUAUUUCUGUACCCAUUAACCAUUCUCACUUUAUACCCCACCCCAUCCUCUGGUAACCAUCAUUCUACUCUCUGUCUCCAUGGGAAUAAUUGAUUUUAAUAUUUAGCUCCCAUAUAUGAAUGAGAACAUGCAAGAUUUGUCUUUCUGUGCUUAACAUAUUUAACUUAACAUAAUAUUGUCCAGUUCCAUCCAUGUUGUUGCAAAUAGCAGGAUUUCAUAAUUUUUAGUGGCUAUAUAAUAUUCCAUUGUGUAUAUGUAUCACAACUUCUUUAACCAUUCAUCCAUUGAUGGACACUUAGGUUGAUCCAUAUUUUGGCUAUUGUGAAUGUUGCUGCAAUAAACAUGGGAGUGCAGGUAUCUUUCUGAUAUAUGGAAUUCCCCUCCUUCACAUAUAUACCCAGUAGUGGAAUUGCUGGGUCAUAUGAUAGUUCUAUUUUCAGUUUUUUGAGGAACCUCCAUACUGUUCUCCAUAGUGGUUGCACUAAUUUACACUCCCACCAACAGUGUAUGAGGGUUCCCCUUUCGAAAUAAGGGAAAUUUUAAAAGGUAAUAUUAAAAAAUGAAAUAAAC
rnacentral:lncRNA from 1 species